UCUCAUGCUACACAAGAAGGUAAAUUUUAUUCUGUGUGAGAAGCUUUAAACGUGAGCAUAAUGGAAAGGGGAUAUUCAGCGAAACAAAGACACACCUCCAGAAGCAACAAAGACAGUUAAGUUUUAGCUACUUAAAUUUGAAUUUUCGUAGUUGAAAAGUAGGAUUCAAACAUGGAAAAAAGACACCAACUUUCAUCAGCCCCACAGAACACUCAGCUGCUGAGGAUUUGCUGACUCAGAGCUCUGCAAAACCUACCUGAUCAAGCAUCAUCCUUAUCCAGCUCAGAAAAAAAGGAGUGAUCAGUUCCACUCAAGACUCACACAAGGUUGUAUAUGUUUACAUUACACCUUGGUAUGCUAUGGGGAUAUGUGCAACUACCAUGCCAGGCUGUCUGAAAAGGCUGGAAUGGCAGCAUGGCAAAGGAUCUGUAGCCUCAGGAGUGAUGUGUGGAGAAGGCUUUACCAUGAGCAGUGAAGAAUGGAGACCACAUCGACCAGAGAUGAAUGUGGUACAGAAGAGAUCUGUUAUUUCAAGAACUGUUAGGAAUGGACAGGCAAGGACACGUCAAUUCACAGCCUGUGCAGAGCAAUCCAGAGCAGCCUGGAUCCACAAGGGAGGACACACACAGCCAUGGAGGAGGCUACAACAAACAUAUUGGGUCAUCUGAACACUCACGACCAACAUGAUGGAGGUUAUCUCAGAGUCCACCGGCACUUGUGACAAAUUAAUUUAUUUCAAAUCAACACAUGAAGACUGAAGCCAAUUGAACAGUACUGCACUUGACCAAACUACAGUUGAGGAGCGCCCAGACUUGAGCAAAAUGACAUCAUGUCUUGGACACAGUACAGCCAUGUGUUUGCAGGUUCCAAGGAUCAUAUUCAUCAGGGAAAGACACUUUAAAAGCUUCAGUCAUGCAAAAUACAGUUCUUAUACUAUAGGCUAGAGAUCAUGCAUCUUCUUAAGCCACUAUGCUUAAUGAUUUUUUAAGAUUCUCAGCUGUUUUCAGAGCCUUUUAUGGGACAGUUCAGAGAGAGUUAGAAAUCUCUUCAGCCCAUGCUAACGUGCAUCUCUCUGAAACAGCUGUCUGCAACAAGAAUGAGAGAUGUCAGUGCAGGAAGCAGAAAGCUGAAUAUGGAUCUCCCUUUUGAAAACACUGGAACAGCGACAGAUCUUCCUGCCACGAGAUUACUUUUUGUCCAAGAGACACAACAGCAAUACAAUACAAUAAAUAAAUAAAUGCAAU
rnacentral:lncRNA from 12 species